rnacentral:lncRNA from 1 species
UGUAUGCAAUUUGCUCCAUAUUUAUCUGACAAACAAGUGCUGUUUUUUUUUGGGCAGAGAAAUGGAAGAGAUAACUACUUUCAUAAAAGGUGCCAUAUGUGAGGAUCAAUGCCUGGGCAGAUGCCUUUACAUACAUGGUGUUCCUGGGACAGGAAAGACAAUGAGCGUACUAGCAGUAAUGAGGAAUUUAAGGUGUGAAGUUGAUGCAGGGAGCAUUAAACCUUAUUGUUCUGUGGAGAUUAAUGGCCUAAAGUAUCUAUUGGCUUAAGGGAAUACCCUUGACUGAUAACACAAGGCAGUCAUGUUUGCUUCUAUCUUUUAGGCUUGUCAGACUUUACUGAUGUAUUCCUUUAUCUGCACUAUACUGCAGACAAUGAGUGUACUAGCAGUAAUGCGGAGUUUAAGGUGUGAAGUUGAUGCAGGGAGCAUUAAACCUUAUUGUUUUGUGGAGAUUAAUGGCCUAAAAUUGGCUUCACC